rnacentral:rRNA from 1 species
GACCGAACCGACUAAUGUUGAAAAAUUAGCGGAUGACUUGUGGCUGGGGGUGAAAGGCCAAUCAAACCGGGAGAUAGCUGGUUCUCCCCGAAAGCUAUUUAGGUAGCGCCUCGUGAACUCAUCUUCGGGGGUAGAGCACUGUUUCGACUAGGGGGUCAUCCCGACUUACCAACUCGAUGCAAACUACGAAUACCGAAGAAUGUUAUCACGGGAGACACACGGCGGGUGCUAACGUUCGUCGUGAAGAGGGAAACAACCCAGACCGCCAGCUAAGGUCCCAAAGUCAUAGUUAAGUGGGAAACGAAGUGGGAAGGCUCAGACAGCCAGGAUGUUGGCUUAGAAGCAGCCAUCAUUUAAAGAAAGCGUAAUAGCUCACUGGUCGAGUCGGCCUGCGCGGAAGAUGUAACGGGGCUAAACUAUGCACCGAAGCUGCGGCAGCGAUAUGUAAAUAUUGUUGGGUAGGGGAGCGUUCUGUAAGCCUGUGAAGGUGUACUGUGAGGUAUGCUGGAGGUAUCAGAAGUGCGAAUGCUGACAUAAGUAACGAUAAUGCGGGUGAAAAACCCGCACGCCGGAAGACCAAGGGUUCCUGUCCAACGUUAAUCGGGGCAGGGUGAGUCGACCCCUAAGGCGAGGCAGAAAUGCGUAGUCGAUGGGAA